GAUGAAGUCGAGUUUCGCGCCGAAAGAUAACGGCUGGGAGUAAAAAUUGCGAUUUCAGCAUUGGAGAUCCUCUAAGUCCUACUUAUCACCAAUCAAUUACCUCAAAUGAAAAGUUACCUCGCCAUUAUUGCUCAAAAAGACUGGAAGGAGUCCUGUUGAGGAUUUAGAUUCCUCCUCUUUUGAAAAGUGCAACCGAUUGAAGUUAUAAAGGGCUCUGGGGUGUUUUGCCAGGCAGAAGUGUGGAAAGCAGCCCUCCUUGCCACCUCUGCUACUGCCAUGGUGUGGAAUCUGCUGCUGGGCACAUUUGAUCUGGAGACUUUGCUGAAAAACAACCUGAAUGGUGGGAAGCCAACCAGAGGGGAUGGGGAGCAGCUGGUCGCCCUUGACCAAAUUAAAAAAGCAUCAUUAUUGGUGAGUAAAUGUAUAAAAGUUUUGUUUUCCCUUCUCAACGCAUUAGGAUUUUAUAAGUUCACCACUUUAACCAUAGCCUACUUGUAUCAAUGUUUAUUAGGCAUCAAUUGAGACUGUAUAAGGGAUUAUUGUUACUAUAUCUACUUGGAACCUAUAAUACUAAUUCAUCGCUUGCUCAGUUCUUGAUCCUAACUUUCCUUUUCUUAAGCCACGUUUCAGAUUUUUCAGAAUCUUCAGAAUCUUCCAAUUGACAUGUUUACAUGACGCAUUUUUUAAAAUGAUCAA